rnacentral:rRNA from 1 species
GCAAGUCGAACGAGAAACUACCUUCGGGUAGUGGACAGUGGCAGACGGGUGAGUAACGCGUGGCAACCUACCUUUCAGUACGGGACAACAGUUGGAAACGACUGCUAAUACCGUAUACGUCCUCCGGGAGAAAGAUUUAUCGCUGAUAGAUGGGGCCGCGUUAGAUUAGCUUGUUGGUGAGGUAAUGGCUCACCAAGGCGACGAUCUAUAGCUGGUUUGAGAGAACGAAC